UUUCUAACUAAAUCGAUCUAUCUAUCUAUCUACCAUCUCAUAGCAACCACCUAGAACAACCUAGCAACCGCCUAGCAACCACACAAAUCACCCUGGCAACAUCCUAGUAACCAGCCCGAGUGCCUUAGCAACCACAUAGGAACACCCUAGCAACCACCCAGAAUUCCUUAGCAACCGUAUAGCAACACCUUAGCAACCACCCUGAGUACCCUAGCAACCACAUAGCAACACCCUAGCAACCACCCCGAGUACCCUAGCAACCGUAUAGCAACACCUUAGCAACCACCCUGAGUACCCUAGCAACCGCAUAGCAACACCCUACCAACCAUCCAAAAUACCUUAGCAACCACAUAGCAACACCCUAGCAACCACCCCUAGUACCUUAGCAACCACAAAGCAAAACCCCAGCAACCAUAUAAAACCCUUGCAACCACUCAGAGUACCCUGACUCUAUCUAUCUAUCUAUCUAUCUAUCUAUCUAUCUAUCUAUCUAUCUAUCUAUCUAUCUAUCUAUCUGUCUGUCUGUCUGUCUGUCUUUUAAACUACUAAACUAAAACUUAAACUUUCAAACUUUCAAACUUCAAACUUUUAAAACUACUUCAAACUUUCUGGACCGGCUUUUUCAAGCCAACUUAAAGUUUGUCUAAAAACUUUUUUAUUUUAUUAUUAUUAUUAUUAUUUAUUUUUAUUUUUUUUUACACACAUUAUAUGACUGUCUUUAAUUUUAAGUUACAUAAAAAUUGACAAUUACAAUUCUCAACCGCUAGAUGGCAACUGUGGCUCUACUGAGACAUGACUACUGGCAACGCGAGACUUGUUAGUUAGUAGAGAUCACUGUUCCCAGAUCUCGCGAUGAACAUUUCCACCAUUUUACAACUGUCGGACAGCAAGCAAGAGCAAAUGUUGAAGCAAAUUCUUUCCUGCUUUUGGUCUUGCUAUUUUCUUACUCAUAGUUUUCAGUCAGGCGACUGGAGCAGAGACCUGGAGGGCAAAACAUCCAUAGAACUGCAGGACAGGCCUGUCAAUUGCGUCUCAAAAAAGGCAAUAUCAACACCAUACAACAGGCCCUGCUCUCCUCACCAAGAACAACACCCGAGCCAUCACGGACAUGGAAAGGUCUUGACACCUUGCCAAGAGCUGGAUUUUUUUGAGACGCUAGGGAGGACUACAGAGCAAAUAUACACACAUUCAUUGAUGACACAGCAACAUUUAGAUCAUUUCUCUUUUAAGUUGCAGGACGCAUGAUAGGACACUCUUUCCAACAUGGUGGACCUCGGAUGGCUGGAGUCAGCCAAGCAAUAGUCCAUGUACUUCUAGGAGGUUCACCCGAGACUGACUGCAUCCAGCUCUGACCUUGAGCACUUAGUAAAGUUGUGGCUGGGGUGGGAAGUGCCAGAUGGAAAGAUGGCAGUGAAAGUUGUUAAUGCUGACAUGCCGAAGUCCUCCACUUGCUUCAACAUGCUACGCUUACCAGGUCAUUACACGGAUUUCAGCCAUUUUAAGGACAAACUCCUUAUGUGCAUUGGCACUUCUGAGUUUGGUUUUGAACUUGUUUAGAUCUAUGAAAUCCGACACAGUUGACACAAAGACACCAUGUCUAUAAGUUAAGUUACAGUACCAUAGUUUGACCUGUUGUUUGGACUUGUUGGGACAUUGAUUUUGAUGCAGUUAACCUAUGCACAUGUUCAUGUAGUAUUGCUGUUUUAUUUUUGAGAAGGGGAAAAACCUAAUGCAAUAUUUUAUUUACAACAGACCUACACUGGUUUUAAAGCACUUUAGCUAUCCAUUCUUCUAUGUAUAAAUGAAACAGUUUUUGAAAACAAAAUACACAUUGAAUGUUAUGGUUGAAUUAUUCAUCAAAUAAAUUUAAAUUCAAUUCCAGCAGUCCAGUUAAUGUGUCAUUACUCAAGUGCUUGGCAAAACUACAGUGCAGCCAUGUAAAUGUCUAUCCCAUGGGAUUGUGAUGGUGACCUAGGAUCCACUGUGCUUUGGUGUAAGUGGACCUUUUUUUCCAAAUAUAUAU